CAAAAUUCUAUGCUAACUUAACAUGGCAUUUUAAAUUUGAAGUGAAAAGACUGUUUCUAGAAGGUGAAACAUGUUCUUUUAUGAAAAAACAUGAAAAAAGGACACCUGAAAUGAAAACAAUAUUUAAAUUGAGUUCAUGUGGUUUUAUGGAAAAGUACCAUGAAUUUGCCUACCUUUGUUUCUGCUAAAUCUAACCUCUUAGAAAGCUAUAAAAUCUGUAUGCUCAAAGAGCUUCGCUGUGUGCAUUUAUGAGAACCUAGUCAUUAACCCGCAGAAUAGUGAAUCAGCCAAUAGUGUUUGCAGUCCUUCAGUAUUUUUAUAAUUGGUGUUUUGGUUAAGAUUCUUUCAUUUAUAAGAAAAGAAACUGACUUUAGCUCAUCUCAGUGAAAUAAGGGAGUGUGUGAAAAGGGCUGCUCACAAAAUCAAAGGAAGAGCAGUGUACAUAGUCUUUGGAGAGGACAGAAAUGGGAGCAGAUCCAGGGAAAUCAUCAGGGCUGGCUGCUCACAAAUCCUCUCUGUAAGACACUCACAUUGGAUGACUCAGCUCUCAGAAACUUGCAUUUCUGACAAACCUCAAGUCAUUUUCAAAUGCCUGUGGGGGGAAUAUCCUGUUGGCCCAGGUGGACUUAGAAUUUCUGCUUUUGGAUUAAUAGCCAAUGCAAAGGAUACGGGGGAAGCAUAAAAGGAAGAGUGAUACUGACAGGGCCACUCAGAGAAUCAUGUACUGAGUAGCAGCCUGAUUUGGGAAUGCUAUUUUUGAUGAGCUCAUAAUCAGUUUCAAGAUGAAUUUAGUAAUAAACAGAACUUUAGUUUUUCCCAUAUUUUUAUCUUUAUAAAUUAAUAAUUUUAACACUUUAUUAAAUACCUACAGUGUACCAGGAAGAAGACGACACUCCAGAUAUAAAAAAAUAAGCUCUAGCUCAAGUCAAAAAUGCAGAUGUGUAACUAAAGUGAUUCGCAACGUAGCAGAUGUAAUGCAGGCUUGCACCUAUUUAGGUAGUUAUUAGAAGCAUUGAAGAAAAGCAUCAAUCUACAUAGACCUGAUGAUAUCAGGGAAAACUUUAUAGAGGAAAGAAUCUUUGGGUUGAGUUUCAAAGGAUAAGUGGGAAUUUGCUAUGAAACGAGAGGAGAGAAAAACUGUAGAAAAACUGUAUUUCAAAGCAUCCCGCAUCUACAAAGAGCAUGGCUCAGGUGGGAGCUGCAAAUGGUUCAGUGUUUUUGGAAGUUUGGAAUCUGAAGACGUUACUGAAAAUGAGUCUGGAGAGAGAAGCAGUACCUGAAAUUUCUGUUAUGCACAUUAAGACAUUGGACAAUGGAGAGUCAUUAAAAGAUUUUUUAUUUGGAAAAGUAUCAUGAUUGGAGUUGGUUUUAGGAAGGCAACUUUGGCCAGGCAUAGUGGUUCAUGUCUAUAAUCCAGCACUUUAGGAGGCUGAAGCAUGUGGAUCUCUUGAGCCUAGGAGUUUGAGACCAGCCUGGGCAAGGUGGCAAAAUCUUGUCUACAAAGCAUAAAAAUUAUCCAUGCAUUGUGGUGCAUGCCUGUAAUCCCAGCUACUCUGGCAGCUGAAGUGGGAAGAUCACCUGAACCCAGGGGAUUGAAUCUGAAGUGAGCCAUGAUCUCACUAUUGCACUCCAGUCUGGGCAACAGAAUGAGACCCUGACAAAAGAAAAAAAAAUAUAGACAACUUUGGCAGCAAUGUGGAAAAGAAUUUAAAUAAGAGAAGACCAGUAUAAGACUGCUGCAAUAGACCAUUUAGGGAGGUCGAGAGAAAUUCAGUCUUCUUUCUCAGGCAGCAGUUAAGAUAGGGGGGUCACUAACUGAUGUAAGCAACUUAAGGAAUGUUAAAAAGUUAAAAUCAUUCAGAGGCUAAGGCAUACUUGGGUCUGCAGUCGGAAGAGGAGGGAAAGACUAGAAACUUGUAUUUCUGAGUCAACAACAUAAUAUAGCAAUUUUAAGUGUGAGUAUUGAUGAGGUUUCACAUAUAAAAUAUUAGAAUAUUCAGAGAUCACCAGACAGAACCCUGGAGACAAGGGAUGGAUCAAGGAAAAUAAGUCUGAGUUAGAAAAUCUAAAAUAGUAGGAAGAAGGCCAGUAGGGAGCAGAGUUACAGAGAGUAAACAGAGGAAAGGGAAGGGAGUUUCAAGAAAAAAGUAUGUAUCUGUUAGGAUUAUACUUAGUUGCAGGUUACAGUCCUUUCUCACAUAGACUAGAUGUAUAGUUAGGCAGCCUACACUAGUGUGGGGCCUCUAUUAUCAUCCAGUUCUUUCUACAUUCUACUCUGCAUCUUAAUCGUCCAAGAUGGUUGCUCAAGAUUCAUCCCAGAAGGAAAAAGGACAGGCCGAAGAAGAGUGCAUCACUACCUUGAAAGACACUUACUCUACAUUUUAUACAACAUUUCUAAUUCCAAUCCAUUGGCAGAAUUUAGCCACAUGGCCAUAUCUGACUUCAAAGGAGGCUGGGAAAAAUAAAUCUUAUUCUAGACAGCCAUAAUUCCAGGUGAGCAAUGGGUUCCAUUUAAUAAGAAAAAAGGGGAAAAAGGAUCCUGGGAAGCAAUUGGAAGCCUUUGUCACAUAGGAGUUAGUGAACAAUGACAUAAAUUGAAGAGAGUUGUUGUAAGAAAAAGACUGAAGAGUGUUUAUUGCACUAACUAGUGACAAUCUUGGCAAAAGUAGUUUCUUGGAGUAGUGAGAAUGUAGGUCAAACUGCAGUAGAUGAAGAAUUGACUUUAAGAUAAAGAAAAUGAAUAUGAGUUGAAAAUAAGCUGGGCUGCGAAAAGGAAGGUGAGAAGGAAGACUGUAGUUAGCUCAGCACCUUCAUGAGAAUAGAGCUCAUGGAUAAGACUUUGAUGGGCCAUGUGCAAACUGAAGCAGAGGAAACCAGUCAUCAUGAAGUUGAGAAUGGAGCAACCUGCUUCUCCUGGAAACUUCUUCCAAUGUCCUCCCAAAGCAGUUCCACCAACAUGGGAUAGAAGAAUGAGAGAUAUCAUAUUUCUUGUUUUUGUUUUUGUUUUGAGAUGGAGUCUUGCUCUGUUGCCCAGGCUGAAGUGAAGUGGCACAAUCUCAGCUCACUGCAACCUCUGCCUCCCAGGUUCAAGCAAUUCUCCUAUCUCAGCCUCCUGAGUAGCUGGGACUACAGGUGCCUGCCAUCACGCUGGGAUAAUGUUUGUAUUUUUUAGUAGAGAGAGACGGGGUUUUACCAUGUUGGCCAGGCUGGUCUCGAGCUCCUGAUCUCAAGUGAUCCACCUGCCUCACCCUCCCAAAGGGCUGGGAUUACAGGCGUGAGCCACUGCGCCCAGUCAAGAUAUAUCAUGUUUCUUAUAUGAUCCAUUUCCUUGUCAGAAUUAAUUGGUAGUUAAUCUAAUCCAAAUUGGUCUAAAGAAUCCAUACCAGUGAACCACCUGAAUGAAUGAGGAGUGGCUAAUGUACUCAAAUGAGCCAGUUUCCCCACCAUGGGAUUUUUAGAUUUUAUACUGGAGAAAUACCAAAUCAAUUUCAUUUCAGUGAUUGAAACUAUAAACUGUAAAAUUCGUUGGCAAUCAUGUUUUCCAUCAUGUUUUGAAAAGCAACCUGCAAUGAGGAAGACAAAUAAAAAUAUAGAGAAAUGCGAAGAUGAAAGACUAACAGAAAGAAAAAUGAGUGCUAGCACCAUUUCGAUCCUUACUUACUUCCGAUUGUUCCUGAGACCCAGAAACAUUAUUUCUCUCAAGAUCUGAGAUAAUCAGUAUUUCUAUAAGAAAAUUUCUCUUUCUGCUUAAAUAAAUUGUAGCUGAGUUUCUGUCAUUUACCAUUAAAAAUGUCUGAUUAAAACUGAGAGGAACAUGUUUAUAUGUUUAGAAAAAAGUCAGAAGAAAGGUUGAAGAUACAAAAAGACUGAGAAUUUGAGAGUAUGUAUAUCCAAGAUAGCAAUCUUGUUUCUGCUUCCCUCUGAGGUAACAGUCCCUGCCCCAAAUCACUAUUCUCUUUAUGACCUCAAUCCCUAGACAUAGCUGUUUGAAUCAUGAGAGGGCACCUGCCUUCCUUCUACAUCCUAGAUGAACUGGUCUGAGCACGUUCUUCUGUGAGGUUUAUAAUUGAGAUGUGUGGACACUAAGCUCAUAAAGAAUCAGGGCUAAGACUAUGAUGGGUCAUAUGCAAGCUGAUGCUGAGGAAGCCCACCAUAAGAACGGAGAAUGGAGCAUUCUGCAGAGAGCAGAGGAACUUGAGAGUUCAUUAGAGAGAAGACUCCUACUGUUUAGAGAACAGAGAUUUCAAGGAAGGAUUAAGGCUGGCAUCCUGAUAGCAAAGGUGGAGACAAAGGAAAGCAUUCCAGAUAACUUUCAAAAGAAACUCAAACAUUCGGAAAUCAUUUUCACUACCAAGAAAGGAAGUUAAGAAAAAUAGUUAUUUCCAAGGUCUCCAGAAUCUGAAGCUCUGCUCCUGAGUUUAUAAAAUGUGGAUGACGUCUAUGAAACUAAGCUCGGGAAGUAUUUUGUCACAUAUUGUGUUGAAAGCUCAUAGGAAGAGGAAAGUUGGGCAGUUGUCUAAGUAUAGCGGAGGUUUAUGUGAAGGGAAUGUUGAACCAUGAGGCUCACAUAAGGCAACUGUCUUAAGAAUAAAUAAGUAGUAUGCUAUAAAUAGAUUAUCUACCAUGCUAAAUUAAAUAUGUUAUUGGCUUCUCCAAAUAAACAGACCCAUGGAUGUGUAUAUGGAGAAAGAGAGAGAGGGACAGAGAGAGAGAGAGUGUGAGAGAAUUUAUUUUUAAGAAAUUGGCUUGGCUCACGGAAUCAUGGAGGCUGGAGGCUGGCAAGUCCAAAAUCUGUAGUGUGGCCUGGUGGCCUGACAGGCUAGAGACCCAUGGAAGAGCUGAUGUCGCAAUUCAAGUCUGAAGACCAUCUGCUGACAGAAUUGCCUCUUGGGGAAGUCAGUCUUUGUUCUAGCAAGCACUUCAACUUAUUGGAUGAGGCCCACUCACAAUAGGAAGGCAACGUGCUUUACUCGAAAUCCAACUAUUUAAAUGUUAAUCUCAUCCAAAAAACACCCUUGCAGAAACAUCCAGAAUAAUGUGUGAUCAAAUGUCUGGGCCCCACGACCCAGCCAAGUUGACACAUAAGAUUAACCAUCAUACCAGGGGAUAGUUCCUCAAACUUGACAAGUCCUUCAACAUCUGUGGAUGCCACCUCUGAGGGAUAAAGGGAGGCAGAGAACAGAGCUGGCUAACAAAGGUCACUGGACAUCUUCCCACAUUCCCACUUUCUGAAGACAUCUCUAAACCAGAUCUUUUAAAAUUCUAAGCUAUGCAGAUGAAUUUUUAAAAUUGAAUAAUACUGGAUGAGUGUGACUCCUGGGAUGCUAUCCACUCAACCAUCUACUACACAAAGUUUAUACACAACUACAUCAUUCCCAGUAGGUCACACUUAUUAAUAAAUCAAGUGAAGACACAGUAAUGCUGUUCUUCUAAGACAUGUCCACAUUUUUCUUAAUGGCACUCAAAGAAAAUUAACCUAAAGAUUCACGCUUCUUAUUUUUUUGAGACAGAGUCUCACUCUGUCAACCAGGCUGGAGUGCAGUGGCACGAUCUCAGUUCACUGCAACCUCCACCUCCCGAGUUCAAACGAUUAUCCUGCCUCAGCCUCCCAAGUAGCUGUGAUUACAGGUGCACACCACCACACCCAGCUCAUUUUGUAUUUUUGGUAGAGACGGGUUUUCAUCAUGUUGGCCAGGCUGGCCUCGAACUCCUAACCUCAAGUAAUCCACCUGUCUCAGCCUUCUAAAGUGCUGGGAUUACAGGCAUGAGCUACCUCACCCAGCCCCAUGCUUCUAAAAUAGUUAUUAGCUUGAAAAAAAAUGGGGCCAGGCACAGCGGCCCAUGCCUGUAAUCCCAACACUUUGGGAGCCCGAGGUGGGCGAAUCACAAGUUCAGGAGUUUGAGACCAGCCUAGCCAAUAUGGUGAAACUCAGUCUCUGCCAAAAAUACAAAAAUCAGCUGGGUAUAGUGGCAGG
rnacentral:lncRNA from 1 species